CAGGGCCCUGCACAGACGAGUAUUUAAUAAGCAUCUACCUGUGCCAGACGCCGCGCGUAGUGCUGGGGAUAUAAAGACAAAAAAAGACACAUUCCCUGUCCUCAGGAGGGAUCACAAUUUAAUGAUGGUGACAAUAUUAAGUAUGAAUCCAGAUAGUAAGUAGCACAGCGGCUUAUACAUAAAUACAAGCUAACCUGGGGGUUGGUGGGGGAGGGAAAGAGGCACCAAGUGUUUGUAGAAUUGUAUCAUACUCAGUCAUAGCUCAGUCAACGAGUGUUAUUUAGCUGUUAUUAGUCACGUUCCUGGACGGUGGUUUUGGAUAAAACCAGGAGAAGGUUCCAAAAAGCCCCUUUCCUCUUUCCCCCACCCACCACCUCCUCUUUUCUGAGGUUUACUCAACUGCCCUUUGAUUUCCUCUCAGAUUCUGGGAGCUGAGACUGAGGAGGACCUUUCUGAGCCUGCAUUCUCUGAUAAGCUGGCAGAUGUGGGAAUCUCCCUUAGCAUUUAUGUAGCAGUGGAAAUUUCUGUUCUUGGUGCUCUUCCAAGGACAGUCGGGAGAUUUUAUAGUUGGACAUCAAUGGACUGGCUCUUGGAACAAUCCAGAAGGAAUAAAAGGACUCAAAAAUAGCCAGUGGGGAUGGAGAAGUCCAACCCUAGCCAACUACCCCUGAGUAAGAGUUAAAAAAAAAUAAUAAAGUAACUGUUUAAGUGGACA
rnacentral:lncRNA from 1 species